UAUGAUCACCGAAGUUAAGCAAAGUUGAGCCUGGUCAGUACCUAGAUGAGUGACCACUUGGGAAUACAAGGUGUUGUAA